rnacentral:rRNA from 1 species
GAACUGAAGAGUUUGAUCCUGGCUCAGAUUGAACGCUGGCGGCAUGCCUUACACAUGCAAGUCGAACGGCAGCACGGGAGCAAUCCUGGUGGCGAGUGGCGAACGGGUGAGUAAUACAUCGGAACGUGUCCUGUAGUGGGGGAUAGCCCGGCGAAAGCCGGAUUAAUACCGCAUACGCU